UUAGUUCUAAAUCACAAUUUUGAAUGCCAUGAUGAUUAUCAAUUUGGCUGAAAAUUUAUAGUGAUGAUUUACUCAUAUAUACCUAAAAUCUGAACGGUUGAGAUGAGAAAAUAUAAUCGAAAAGUGGGUCAAAUAAUGAAAUUCGUACCUGAUCUAAGAUAAGAUUAGGAGGUCCUUACUUGAUAAGCAUUAUAUAUGUAUAUAUAGGCCGGAUCAUGAGAGGACGUCCGCACCACUCUUAAAGUGCGGAUGUCGCCGAUUUCUCCACCUUCAGGGUGUCAAACGCGGUGCUUCUCUUGCCGGACAGGCAACAGACCUUGAUACUGAGCUUUCUCUUGCUGGUGGACUAGUCGGCUACAAGUUUGCAGCCAACCUUGAUCGGUCUUGAAGUUUUUAGUGAGCAGGUUGCUGCCUAGAGCUCCAAUCCUAAUCUCCUUAACCUUCUUCUUCAUGUCAACGCCGUCCUUGAGGCCUCUAGUGUUUAUCAGGCAAGAGAAGCGCCGCCGUCGACGCCCAGAAGGUGGAGAAAUCGGUGACGCCCGCACUUUAAAAGUGGUGCGGACGUCCGCCUCUGAAUGGGCAUGUAUGCGUGUGUGUGUGUGUAUAUAUAUAUACAGGGCCGUUCGAGAACGGACGUCCGCAACUACGUUAAAAUACAGACGCCGGCUCAAAUCAACUUCGGCGGCACUGAUUGGGAGCUCUUCUUGCUGGUUCCAAACAAGAGCUCCAUCUUGAGCUUCUUCUUGCCGACAAACUCGACGGUGAUGAGUUUCGAAGCCGAGAUUGAGCUUCUUCAAGUUGCUGCAGUUUUUUCGGCGCCAGACCUUCUUUUUCGAUCACCUUGGCGUUCAACUUGAUGGUAAUGGCAUCUGAGGAUGGAAGAAGAGCUGCCAAUCAGUGCCGCCGGAGUUGAUUUGAGCCGGCGUCCAUAAUUUAACAUAGUUGCAGACGUCCGCUUCUAUAUAUAUAUAAUUAAUUUCAGUUUACAUCUCUGAGGUUUAUGGUUAAUAUCAUUUCACUCCCCAUAUUUUUAAUUUUAAAAAUUUACUCCCUAAAGUUUUCAAUUUUCAUAAAUCAUGCCCAAUUACUGAAAUUCUGUCUAAUUCGGAUGUUAAUUUUGACUUCAUAACUCACUAAAAUNNNNNNNNNNNNNNNNNNNNCUCGGGAUUGUAGCUUUUCGUAGCUUCUUUCAAUCCUUCUAAAUGGUUCAAGUAGAACUAUGUACUCGCUUAUCUACUCCUUGUAGUUAUGUCUCAUAGAGACAUUGAGUGCUUCGCAGAUAGUGGAACUAUCUAUAACAUUCUAAGGAACCAUGUUGAGCUUUAAAGACAUUCAUGCUAAUGGUUUUCAUUUGAAAACACAUUGUGAGAAUGAACAAGAAUUCUUUUGUGUAUACCUCCUCAUGAAUGCGAACUGAAGCGCAUCUUGGAGAAAUUCAUGAGUCAAUCUAGUGAACUGUAUGUCACUACGAUUCAAAUAUCGAAUCCCAUGUUGUCGCCAAACAUGAUAUUUGGGACACCGACUCAUAUAGGCUUUGGUUUGACCAAAUUGGUCAACCUGGAAGAGAUAUAAUGGUCCAAAUUUUGAGAAAUUUUCAUGGAUAUCCAUUCUUCCGCUCAAAACGAAGACAUUUGAGAUCUAGCAUCACCAUGAAGCAUGGUGGUGACCAAGGGGACAUUGACGUCACCCGAAUACGACUCCAACUUCCUGGAGGUCGUCCGGUCAAUUCCUCAAGCAAUUGAGGUGCACCGGCCUUUCCUCGAUGUCGCAUUGGCCCCCUGCAAUGCUCAUUGCUCGUUUUGAAAGCCUAUUCUUUAGCUAAAUAAGGAGUGAGACCCUCCUACGCUAAAUAACACAAAAGUGAACAUUCUAUUCUUACAUCAAACUAUGUAGAUAGAUACAACCAACUUGCGGACACCUUUUUAUGCUUUGUGGUGUUGGUUGACGUGUUAACACACUGGUCACGUGUUACACUAUUAUCUACUGCUUAUACUGCUUAUACUGCUUAUACUUCUACGGGCUCACUACCCAUUCUUUAAAGAAGUUCAUCGGGAUGUAAGUUGAAGUGUCCUGUACCCCAUGUUCACACGCAAUACGGUCUCACCGAGGCUACGACCAAGCAACUUUAGCUUGUCGCUCGAACAUUAUUGAUGCGCACCACUCUUUCUAUUGCGUCUUGGGGCUAUGCAAUAUUUGCAUGCAGCUUUACUAUUCAUCUAUGACCCACCAUCAUUGAAUUUUGUUGUACUACAGCUCGUGAUUGUGUACCAGGAUUGACACGAAAUUGCAAUCCUUGAGCUCAGCAGGAUUGAAACGGAUCUCCAAUCCUUGAGCUCGGCUAGAUGUUAUUUCUAGGUGCCAAAUCGCAUUGCCACUGCGUACAAUGAUGGGUCAUUUGAGAUGAAUAAGUUUAGGUUGGAUAUGAACCUCCACCUAUAAUCCGCAUAUGUAGGAACCUUGUCAGGCGAUCUCAUUCACCGCUAAAUUGCGGAUUGUCACUUUGAUGAGACAAUAUUCCCGCCGUUAGGGGGAGAUAAGAACACACGUGUUCAAGUGAAACGACGUGAAUUGUCGUGGUUUGUCCCCACUAAGUCUCAUCUUGAUCCCAAAUACUUAAAGUGUUAAAGUGACGAGAUCACAUGCUGCAAAUAUGUCUGCAAGAAUUGAUGUCCUACAAAAGGACAUGGCGCGACCAAAAAGUGUUGGUCUUGACGCCAUCACCAUGGAUGGUGAUAUGGUGACGCCAUAUAGUGGCAAAAAUUGGUGUCACAAGGCCGUGUGGCUCCUUAAAAGGAGGGAGGCCCUUAGGUUCUAUAUUGUCUCGCAUUAGAAAGAAAGCGAGCUUGGCACAACCUGAUCCAUUGAUCAGUGAUACUCAAAUCCAUCUCAUGAAGUCUGAAUUGUGAUUAUCGUUGGGGGACGCCUCAAUGUCAAAUCCAAUCCAUAUAGAGAUCUCUAUAAGUAUUACACUAGUGUACAUGAGGACGUGAGAUAAUAAGUCUACUAUCGAACCACCCUUCGUUGAUGGAUAUCAACUUAGUUGAUUGGCCUAAUGGAAAGAUGCGAUCCAGCAUUAACAAAGAGAUAGGUCAUUGGGCAGGUGAUGCUGACACCGCAAGCUAAACCCUAUCAACUAUACCUUUGUUAGAUAGCGUAGUGAGAACAAGAGCUUCGACUCACCUUAUGGCGUAAGUUCUCUCACUAACAUGCACUGGGAUCAACUACGAUGAGAUAUGCUCUCGUAAUGGAUGUCAUUGAACUCCACUACUUUGUCAGUUUGGUAAUUUCCGAAUAACUGAACAUGCAGCCUAUGAAUGUGGUCAUAAUAACAUCAACAUCUCUACAGGAUCAGAGAUAUACAUGAAGGUCUUAAACGGACUUCAUUCAUCCGAAUCAAGUGGCUCUAGACCACAGUAGCACGCGUUUGCUAAAACUAUUGAAACGCACAUGGAUUCUACUUGAUUUGGAAGGGAUAUGGUGAAUUAUGUCUUUGCGUGUUCAUUCCGGAUUUACAUGGACUCUUGAUGGAUCAAGAGAUGCCAAUAUGUAUCAACAUCCGAAGAAAAAGAUCUUGGGAAGACACAGUCUCGAUAAGAUGACUGUAUUGAUGAUCAAUCGGCUUAGGCGCUCUAUAACUAGUGAGGCCUACAUAUACUUCCAUGAUUAGUCAAGGUCUUUGCUCUAAAGAGAGAUCCGUUGUUUUGUCUAAAGCAAGAUGACAAAUAUGUGUUAAGAGAUGGAGUUGCCAUCUAAGUACAAUUAAAAGCAUUAAUGUACUCAACACAAUAUGAAAAAUUUGACAUCUCAUUCGCUAUGAAAAGUUGUAAAGCUAAGUGUAGCUAUGCGCCCACGCAACGCCAAUGUAAUGGCAGUAACUACUUUUUCAAUACUUAAUGGUAUGAAACGUUGAGGCUUAUUCGAUCCCUACAUAAGAAAGACACAUCAAAAGCGAAAUCAGAAUCUGCCAAGUUUUGUAGGUCAACUUCCACGGGACCUAUAGGAAAUCUCACUCACUGGAAAAUGGUGAAAUUGGUACCAUUGGAAAGGUCUAUGUGUCUACUUUACAGGGACACCAACCAUUUGAUCAUACCUAUCAUAUUGAGUGAGUUAUGGCCUUUUUCGUAAAGUAUGACGAAUCUGUCCGAGAAUCUGAUUUUGGCAAAACAGUCAACUUCGACGGGACUUUGUGAAUAGCUCCUGACGAACCAGAACCUGUGUAAUAUACGGUUGGAAAGCUAAAUGAGUCUAGUUUCCAAAACCGUUUACGGUUAGUUCAUAUGUAUUUCCUAGAGGAAGUUACGACUGUUCUAGUAACUGAAGGUCAUGCUGCGCGGAAAUCUGAUUUCCUGCACGAACUUAUGUUUUGAGUUCACAAGCGGUCUUCUCCUCAAGAUCUAAGUGUAAAAGAUCAUUUGAGGACAAUACGGCAUGAUUUAGUUAAUCAUUGCCUAAUGCCACAUUUGAAGACAUGUUAAAGAGCAUUGACAUGCUAAGUUGUUGAAAUUUCCGUGAUUAGUAAGAAUCAGGAAGAGCCCUAUGAUUGAUGUAAAGAUCAGGGGGAGGUGCGAACUUCAGGGGGAGUCUAGCACAUACAUACAUGUCACUAUCAAAUGUGAAGGGUGCGUUGUCUCUUUUUCUCCUACGAUCAAGGUUCAGUUUUUCUCCCACAGGGUUUUUAUGACUUGACAAGGUUUUUGACGAGACAACAGAUCAGCACCAUCGGCAUAUCAGCGCGCGGCACAAGGGGGAGUGUUCUAGGAUAUUCUGUAUCUUUCUAGAUAUUUGUGUAUGUGUGUCUUGGCCUUAUGUCAAUAGGAUAUGUAGUUUAACUAGAUCUAUGUAUUCAUAUCCUUACCAUAUUAGUAUUGUGUAAUUCCAUAUAUAAAUGGCUCCUAUCAAUGAAUAAGAUGAUGAUUCUCUUGCUAUCUCUUUGUCUCUACACUUUAUCCUUAAUCAAAAAAGACUCCCACUGUAAGCCAAAUCCUAAGGUAAAGCUAUUUUAUUUUUCUUUUGUUAUAUAUUUGUUUAUUUAAUAAUUAAUUAUAAAAAAGAUUUUAUAUUAAAUAUAUUCGAUAUAGGCUCAUAUGAAAAGUCUCGUUGAGAUUUUCACAAUGAUUGUUAGUAACAAUUUUUUAAUUUAGAUGAUAAUGAAAAUUAAAAAGAAAAAUAUAAAGUUGAAUAAAAUAAUAUUUAUUUUUACCUUACCAACUUCAUACACUACCAGGACAAGCACUUUAGCCGACGAAAAAAUUUCGUNNNNNNNNNNNNNNNNNNNNCCUGUUGGUCAGUCUUCAGCUGGAGGCUCUAGUAGAGGUGCCCAAGGCAGUGCUUCGGUCAGAGGUGGCUCUCAGCGGGGAAGUGGUCAGCGUGGACGUCCCAUGACUCGCGCUAGACUGCAUGCUAUGACCCAGCAGGAGGGUCGUACUUCUCCAGAUGUCAUCAUUGGUACGUUAUUGAUUUUUGGUCAGCCUGCUUUUACUUUAAUUGAUCCCGGAGCCACGCAUUCAUUCAUGUCUAGUAGAUUUGCCUUCCAUGCCAAUGUGCCAUCCUCGUCUCUUCCAGGCGAGUGGCGUGUGUCUCUACCCUCCGGUGAGGUGAUGAGAAUAAAUUAGGUUUUUAGUGGCUGUGAAGUGGUAGUGGAAGGAGUUAUUUUCGAGGCUGAUUUAAUUCCUUUAGAUAUAGUGGAGUUUGAUGUGAUAUUGGGAAUGGACUUUUUGGAAGCAUAUAGAGCUAUGGUAGAUUGUUUUCAAAAAGUAGUGGUGCUUCGAAGUCCAGAUGGUUUUGAGGUUGCUUUCCAAGGGGAAAGAGAUGUUAUUUUUAGUUGCAUAAUUUCCGCUGUUGCUGCAAGGAAAUUGUUGAGUAAAGGCUGUCAGGCAUUUCUAGCUCAUGUGGUGGAUACAAGUAUGGGAGUUGUGGGAUUAGAAGAUAUUCCUGUAGUAAGAGAGUUUCCGGAUGUUUUUCCUGAGGAGUUGCCUGGUUUGCCCCCUGCAAGGGAUAUAGACUUCUCUAUAGAAUUACUUCCCGGAACUAUGCCGAUCUCUCAGGCGCCUUACAGAAUGGCUCCAGCGGAAUUGAAAGAGUUGAAGACUCAAUUGCAGGAGUUGGUAGAUAAGGGUUUUAUUCGGCCUAGCAUGUCUCCAUGGGGUGCUCCGGUGUUGUUUGUUAAGAAGAAAGAUGGCACCAUAAGACUAUGCAUUGACUAUAGGAAGUUGAAUCAGGUCACAGUGAAGAAUAAAUAUCCGUUGCCUCAGAUCGAUGAUUUAUUUGAUCAGUUGAGGGGUGCUUCUGUUUUCUCCAAGAUUGAUUUGAGAUCGGGUUAUCAUCAGUUGCGGAUCCGAGAGGGGGACAUAGCCAAGACUGCUUUUCGGUCACGAUAUGGUCAUUAUGAGUUUGUGGUGAUGCCAUUUGGACUUACUAAUGCACCCACGGCGUUCAUGGAUCUCAUGAAUAGGGUGUUUAGUCCAUAUCUUGAUCGUUUCGUGAUCGUAUUCAUAGAUGACAUCUUGAUUUACUCAAGAAGUGAGAAAGAGCAUGCCAAGCAUCUAAGAAUAAUAUUGCGUGACACGACCCACCCCGAAUUUCACCCUGAAACCCAGAGUAAGUCGUGCGGGGACCACCUCCAAGGAAAAUUUACUGAAAAGAUUAAGCAAAUCUUCCUUGCAGAUGGACAACCCUAAGUCGAAAAUUUCAUAUUACACUCUUAAUUUAACGCUUCUGAAUAUCACAUAAUAUACAAAAAUUCUAAAGUAUUCAGAGCUACUAAACACAAGCGGAAGCAAGAAAAUACGAGUAGGUUGAACAGGUAACCUACUGGCGAAAACUGGCCGAAAAGCGGGUGACUAUGCUCGUCUCCUACUAGAUCCAACCCGAACUCUGCAGACUGGGCAAUUUAAAACGAAGGGACCCAGGGGAAAACAUUUAAUAACGUUAGAGUGAGUGGACAAAAAUNNNNNNNNNNNNNNNNNNNNNNNNNNNNNNNNNNNNNNNNNNNNNNNNNNNNNNNNNNNNNNNNNNNNNNNNNNNNNNNNNNNNNNNNNNNNNNNNNNNNNNNNNNNNNNNNNNNNNNNNNNNNNNNNNNNNNNNNNNNNNNNNNNNNNNNNNNNNNNNNNNNNNNNNNNNNNNNNNNNNNNNNNNNNNNNNNNNNNNNNNNNNNNNNNNNNNNNNNNNNNNNNNNNNNNNNNNNNNNNNNNNNNNNNNNNNNNNNNNNNNNNNNNNNNNNNNNNNNNNNNNNNNNNNNNNNNNNNNNNNNNNNNNNNNNNNNNNNNNNNNNNNNNNNNNNNNNNNNNNNNNNNNNNNNNNNNNNNNNNNACUUAUCACACGAAAACGCUCAUAUCUCCCUCUAUAUUACGUAGUUUGGUCAAACCUUCCACACAAAAAACUCUCACGUAGAUGAGACGCAACUGCCCAUAUAAAAAUUUUGAGACAUUUACCUUCCGACGAUAGGGCUCCCCAUAGGGAAUAAUAACGGUAAAUAGUACACGUUGUGAUUCCGAUGACUAAAUUUACAAACCAAAAUUUGACCGUCAGAUAUGAUCAUUAUGACGAAAUAUGUCUAUGGUAAAAAAUUCAACUGGAUUCGACAACGUUAAGGGCUCGAUCGAAACGGUCAACUCUAAUCGGAAAUAAGAAAACUGCAUUUUUAAGCCCUAAACGGACUCGGAUGGCCAAAAAUACGUCGUAGCAUUAGCGAUGAGUUUGACUCGUAGGGCCGUUACGCUUCCGGAAAGGUAUCACAAUAGUCAAUCGGACACCAAAAACCAAAUCUGCAUCAUAGUGAAUAAUAAGGGUAAAUUGCAUUGACCGCAACUAUCGGCACCGAGACUUUACCGGAAUACCGUGAUUUUUUCAACGUAGACGUAUUUCACCAUUCUGGUCAUAUCUUAUUUCACGACUUUUUUGCGUUUCAAGGUUCUACGUAUAGUUUUUUUUUUCCCAGAUGAGUUGUUGUCUAGAUCUACAGAUAUUUAAAUAUUUUAGCCGACGAAAUUAUAUUUUUCAUCGGCUAAACUUUUAAAAAUUUCAUCAGCUAAAGUUCACAGACUAUAGCCGACGAAAAAAAUUAUUCAGACGAAAGGAAAUUUCGUCGGCUAAAGUUGACCAUAGCCGACGAAAAUUUUUAAUUAGCCGACGAAGGGAAAUUUCGUCGGCUAAAGUGGACUUUGGCCGACGAAAAAAUAAUUCGUCGGCCUGGUUUUUUUUUUUCUUCGGCUAAAGCCUUUCUUCUGGUAGUGAUAAGCCAAAUUUAGCUUACCAAAUCCUUCAAGCUAAAUUUCUUUUCUUAGGAUUCGUAAUUUAACUUAUGGUACUCUUAACUAAAUUUGGUUUUUUAGCUUAUGGUGGGAGUCGAUCUAAGAUCGAUAUAUCCAGUUUAUUACUGAUGAAUGAAAAACUAUAAGAGAUUGCCAUCAGUAGUAAUAUAUGUAGUAUUUGCCCAUAAUCCCAAUCAAUGAGAUUGAGUAGUACUCGAUCGAUCAUUAGCUAUAUAUAGCCCUUAGUGUUUAUCCAGGAAGAUGCUGAAUUGAUUCUAAAUAUUCCUCUUAGUAGACGUCGUGUCCUUGAUUCACUCUGUUGGAGGUUAGAAAAAGAUAUGUGUUUCUCAGUCAAGUCGACGUAAAGGUACGUUUUUCUCUAUUCCUCUAGUUAUUCUCCCCUUCUAGUCAAUGUGGGAAGUAAUUUUUGGAAGGAGAAGGGGGGUUAUACACAACGAUGCUAUUUCUUGGUUAAAUCAGUGUGCAAUGGAUUUAACAGUAGAAGAUUUUGGGAUUUUGGUUUUUACGCUGUGGAAUGUUUGGAAGCAGGAGAGAAAUGAAAGGGUGUGGAACCAAAAAAAUUUAGCUGCCUUGGAUGUGAGUAUAGCUAUUGCAGCUAGACUUCAUGAAUUUAAUAGUCAUAACAGCAAACACGAUCAAAAAGUGAAACCUUUGAUCCCUGCAAAAUGGAAAGCCCCUCUUGUGGGAAUUUGGAAGUUUAAUAUAGAUAGAGCCUAUUUUAAUUCUAAAAAUUCUACCAGAAUAGGUGGUGCUAGUUUUGUGGUACGAGAUUCUUUUGGUAAGGCGUGUGUAGGUGGUGAUAUUCCCUUGAAAAGCUUGCGGUCUGCUAAACAUGCAGAACUGCUAGCUUGUUGUCAUGCUGUGGAUUUUGCUACCAACGAAGGCUUGUCACCUGUUAUUCUGGAAACAGAUGCCCAGGUUGUGCAAAACCAAAUUAAUGCUGCUCAUGGGACAAUACUACAAGACUGGGGCGUAUAUAUGAGGACUUAUAGUCCAAGAUAUCGAACCAGGCCGGGGUUAUAGCGCAUCUGCUAUGCUAACAGAAAGAGUAACGAGGCUGCACAUAUGUCAGCUUCUUAUGCUGGCUCUUUAGAGGCAGGAAAGUUCUUUUUUCUGUUCUAAUUUUUCUACAAGCUGUAAUCACAGAUGACUUGUGUAUUGUUUAAUUUCUUUUAUAUGUUUCAAUUAAGAGUUGUCAUUCAUUCAAAAAUAAUAUACAUAGCCUUUAGUGUUAGCCAAGUUACUUUGUGCUGAGUUUUAAUAAUAAUAGUUAUUAAAGUUACUAGCAUGACUCACCAACCAACCCACAAAAGCUAGAUUCUUUCCAAUACCAAAAAAACGACCCUUGAUAAAAUCAUGGUCUGGAACAGCAGUGAAGUACUUCUCUGUCAAAACUGCAAGAGCAUGCACGUGAAAAUUGAACAUAUACAUUUGAGGAAAUUUUACAAAUAAUACUUCAAUUACAAAUCAUUCAUCACAUUAGUAUAUCAACUUCAAAAACUAUUAGAUUAGUACCUCAACAUUAAAAUUCGACCUAUUAUCAAUACCUACUGUCUUUAACGGUGUUAAGCCUUCAUCUUCUUUGAGAUAUUUUCGUCUCUUGUUGUUUUAGAUGUACUGGGUUUCUUCGUCUUUGGAGCAGGCAACUGCUCUCUCUCCUUCUAUUCCUCUCCUCACUCUUUUGUGCCUCAAACAAACUUUAGUCUCACACACCUAUGAGUUUUUGUUUUGGUUUAAAACUUUAAAUUACUAAUUUGCUUUAGGAUAUUUUCGUCUCUUGUUGUUUUAGAUGUACUAGGUUUCUUCGUCUUUGGAGCAGGCAACUACUCUCUCUCCUUCUCUUCCUCUCCUCACUCUUUUGUACCUCAAACAAACUUUAGUCUCACACACCUUUGAGUUUUUGCUUUGGUUUAAAAAUUUAAAUUACUAAUUUGCUUGUUAGAUUUUUGUAUGAAACAUGGAUAGUGAGGGAUAUGAGUUUAUUGUAUUGCAUGGAUAGUUAAAAAUGCUUUUUGGGUUUUUGCACAGAUUGAGCCGGAGAGUUUUUGGGUUUUUAACACAGAUGGAGCCGGAGAAAAAAUCAUACAGGCACAUACCAAAAAAAAGAAAGAAAAAACGAAAGGACGAAAUUGUCGUUGAGAUAGUUUGCAAAAUGAUAGAUUUGACACUGUUAUUAAUGAAGGGUAUGUUAAUUGUAUUGGGAUUAAAUGUUGAGGUACUGAUCUAAUAGUUUUUAAAUUUAGGACAUUAAAAUGAUAAAUGACCAUUAGUUCGAGUACUAUUUAUAAAAUUUCCUCUAUAUAUUAAUUGUAAAAACUUUCAACCAUACAAAAUUAUUUAUAUGCAUAUGUACACGUACGUAUACUGUAUACUGUAGAGGAGCGUUCAUUACCUUCUUCUGGAUUGUACUCUUUUCUCAUUAUAGAAUUUUCCCAUUGUUUCCAUUGACGCAUCUACUCCGUUAUAAUUAAAUUGAAAUACCACAUGACACACGUCAUUUAGCAGGGUACGUAUAUUCGUGUGUUUUUAUAUGUAACAAUGAUAAAGAAACAAUAUAAAAGUAUGCGAAUUCGAUCAAAAGCACAGACAAGCUAUAUAUAUAUA
rnacentral:lncRNA from 1 species